rnacentral:rRNA from 1 species
AGACUCUUGGCAAUGGAUAUCUCGGCUCUUGCAUCGAUGAAGAACGUAGCGAAAUGCGAUACUUGGUGUGAAUUGCAGAAUCCCGUGAACCAUCGAAUCUUUGAACGCAAGUCGCGCCUGCAGCCAAUUAGGCCGAGGGCACGUUUGCUUGGGUGUCAUGC